GUGCAUGCGGCUGCUAUACAUGCAGUCGAGCGAAUCGAUGGGAGCUUGCUCCCUGAGAUUAGCGGCGGACGGGUGAGUAACACGUGGGCAACCUGCCUAUAAGACUGGGAUAACUUCGGGAAACCGGAGCUAAUACCGGAUACGUUCUUUUCUCGCAUGAGAGAAGAUGGAAAGACGGUUUACGCUGUCACUUAUAGAUGGGCCCGCGGCGCAUUAGCUAGUUGGUGAGGUAAUGGCUCACCAAGGCGACGAUGCGUAGCCGACCUGAGAGGGUGAUCGGCCACACUGGGACUGAGACACGGCCCAGACUCCUACGGGAGGCAGCAGUAGGGAAUCUUCCGCAAUGGACGAAAGUCUGACGGAGCAACGCCGCGUGAACGAAGAAGGCCUUCGGGUCGUAAAGUUCUGUUGUUAGGGAAGAACAAGUACCAGAGUAACUGCUGGUACCUUGACGGUACCUAACCAGAAAGCCACGGCUAACUACGUGCCAGCAGCCGCGGUAAUACGUAGGUGGCAAGCGUUGUCCGGAAUUAUUGGGCGUAAAGCGCGCGCAGGUGGUUCCUUAAGUCUGAUGUGAAAGCCCACGGCUCAACCGUGGAGGGUCAUUGGAAACUGGGGAACUUGAGUGCAGAAGAGGAAAGUGGAAUUCCAAGUGUAGCGGUGAAAUGCGUAGAGAUUUGGAGGAACACCAGUGGCGAAGGCGACUUUCUGGUCUGUAACUGACACUGAGGCGCGAAAGCGUGGGGAGCAACAGGAUUAGAUACCCUGGUAGUCCACGCCGUAAACGAUGAGUGCUAAGUGUUAGAGGGUUUCCGCCCUUUAGUGCUGCAGCUAACGCAUUAAGCACUCCGCCUGGGGAGUACGGCCGCAAGGCUGAAACUCAAAGGAAUUGACGGGGGCCCGCACAAGCGGUGGAGCAUGUGGUUUAAUUCGAAGCAACGCGAAGAACCCUUACCAGGUCUUGACAUCCUCUGACAACCCUAGAGAUAGGGCUUUCCCCUUCGGGGGACAGAGUGACAGGUGUGCAUGGUUGUCGUCAGCUCGUGUCGUGAGAUGUUGGGGUUAAGUCCCCGCAACGAGCCGCCAACCCUUUGAUCUUAGUUGCCAGCAUUCAG
rnacentral:rRNA from 1 species